CCCGCCAAUUCCUUUAAGUUUCUCCGGUUGAUCCUGCCAGAGGUCACUGCUAUCGGUGUUCGACUAAGCCAUGCGAGUCAAAUGUUCUUCGUGAACAUGGCGUACUGCUCAGUAACACGUGGAUAACCUGCCCUUAGGUCUGGCAUAACCCCGGGAAACUGGGGAUAAUUCCGGAUAGAUUAUAGACGCUGGAAUGCCCUGUAAUCGAAAGCUUUUGUGCCUAAGGAUGGGUCUGCGGUCUAUCAGGUUGUAGUGGGUGUAACGUACCUACUAGCCUACGACGGAUACGGGUUGUGGGAGCAAGAGCCCGGAGAUGGAUUCUGAGACAUGAAUCCAGGCCCUACGGGGCGCAGCAGGCGCGAAAACUUUACAAUGCGGGAAACCGCGAUAAGGGGACACCGAGUGCCAGCAUCCUAUGUUGGCUGUCCAUAUGUAUAAAUCACAUGUGUUAGCAAGGGCCGGGCAAGACCGGUGCCAGCCGCCGCGGUAACACCGGCGGCCCGAGUGGUGGCCACUAUUAUUGGGUCUAAAGGGUCCGUAGCCGGUUUGGUCAGUCUUCCGGGAAAUCUGACGGCUUAACCGUUAGGCUUUCGGGGGAUACUACCAGGCUUGGGACCGGGAGAGGUAAGAGGUACUACGGGGGUAGGAGUGAAAUCUUGUAAUCCCCGUGGGACCACCAGUGGCGAAGGCGUCUUACCAGAACCGGUCCGACGGUGAGGGACGAAAGCUGGGGGCACGAACCGGAUUAGAUACCCGGGUAGUCCCAGCUGUAAACUAUGCUCGCUAGGUGUCAGGGACGGUGCGACCGUUUCUGGUCCCGCAGGGAAGCC
rnacentral:rRNA from 1 species